GGUCUACUCCCUCCGUUCGGAAUUACUUGUCUCGAAAAUGGAUGUAUCUAGAACUAAAAUACAUCUAGAUAUAUCCAUUUCUACGACAAGUAAUUCCGAACGGAGGGAGUACAUG
rnacentral:pre_miRNA from 1 species